GACGAACGCUGGCGGCGUGCUUAACACAUGCAAGUCGAACGGACAGACAGAGAGCUUGCUCUCUUGAAGUUAGUGGCGAACGGGUGAGUAACGCGUAAUCAACCUGCCCUUCAGAGGGGGAUAACAACGGGAAACCGUUGCUAAUACCGCGUACGAUUCAUGAACGGCAUCGUUUAUGAAUGAAAGGUGGCCUCUAUGUAUAAGCUAUCGCUGAUGGAGGGGAUUGCGUCUGAUUAGCUAGUUGGAGGGGUAACGGCCCACCAAGGCAAUGAUCAGUAGCCGGUCUGAGAGGAUGAACGGCCACAUUGGGACUGAGACACGGCCCAAACUCCUACGGGAGGCAGCAGUGGGGAACCUUCCGCAAUGGACGAAAGUCUGACGGAGCAACGCCGCGUGAGUGAUGAAGGUCUUCGGAUUGUAAAGCUCUGUUAAUCGGGACGGAAGAGUUCUGCGUGAAUAAUGCAGAAAAGUGACGGUACCGGAAUAGAAAGCCACGGCUAACUACGUGCCAGCCGCCGCAGUAA
rnacentral:rRNA from 1 species